CAGAGGGGAAGGGUGACAGCGGAUGAAUGAGCGGACGGGACAUGAAAGGAAAGAGUGAAGGAUGAGAGCGGAGGGAUGGAAAGGGGAAGAAAAAGAGGAAAUGGGUGGAUAGAGCUGAUGGAUGGAAGAGGAAAGGAGAGGUGGAAGGAGAGAGGCAGAAGAAGUGUAAAUAUUAAAAUGAAUGAUGUGCACUCUCCAGUCAGAAGUGCAGCUGGCAGCAGAGCAGCAAACUGACUGAUGCUGGCACUAAUACGACACAACAGAGAGACAGCCGCUGAGGGACGGACAGAGACAGACGUGGGGACGAACUCUUCAGUUUUUUCCUCAGGCCUGCCUCUGAAGCACAAGAUGUCUGCCAUUUAUAUCACUGCUUUUGCGUUAUGAUCAACCUCAAAGGCAACACCUUACCAAGCGGAUGCCAAAGGGAGGUGGUUGGUGUGGAUGGUGGGUGUAGAAACUGCAGAAAUUUGACUACAAUCGGUGUGUCUGGAGGGAGAAGGUCACUCCAAGUGUCACUGGAUGAGCUGUUCGGGUUUACGACCUGGUGUGACAUCACAACAGGACAGGACUCCUCCUCCAGGCUCAUCUCUGCCUCUCACUGAACAGAGUAAAGCUGCGUUCCAAACAGCAUACUUCUUCUUAUUACAUUAAGUGCGUAUGACAGCCGCUCUUACAAAUGAUGUACGGUUUCAUGAUCAGUAUUUCAUGUUGUUCUUGUGGCGAAGCGUUGAGUGCCACAGUCACUGACAGACACGGAAACAAGGCUGAAAACCAGGGGUAUUAUGAGCAAUGAGCACGGCAGAAUUAAUGAUCGGAGCAGAAUUUUCAGCUGAAACUUAAAACACAUACUAUCAGGACAUGUAAGAUUUGCAUUAACCUGGAAAAAGCUACAAAAGGAGAUCUUUAACAGCAAUGCAGAAACCUAAAACUAAAUCGAUCCUUACUGUGCUGAAAAAUUGCACAUGAUGGAAAAGCAACUACAAAAGGUUUUUCCAAUAAGAUGCACUCAUGGAGCAAGAGUUACUCACAGGAAAAAUUCUCCUGAAAGGAUGUCCUUGAAUUAAAAUGACAAAAAAAUGAGACAAACGAUACAAAACGGAACAAAAGAGACAAAAAAAUUGCCAAAAAAGUUACAAAGCAACAAAAAAAAUGGACAAGCGACACAAGCGAGACAAAAAAAAACCCA